AGAGUUUGAUCCUGGCUCAGGAUGAACGCCAGCGACAGGCUUAACACAUGCAAGUCGAGGGGCAGCAUAAUUUGUAGCAAUACAGAUUGAUGGCGACCGGCGCACGGGUGAGUAACGCGUAUGCAACUUACCUAUCAGAGGGGGAUAGCCCGGCGAAAGUCGGAUUAAUACCCCAUAAAACAGGGGUCCCGCAUGGGAAUAUUUGUUAAAGAUUCAUCGCUGAUAGAUAGGCAUGCGUUCCAUUAGGCAGUUGGCGGGGUAACGCCACCAAACGACGAUGGAUAGGGGUUCUGAGAGGAAGGUCCCCCANAUUGGUACUGAGACACGGACCAAACUCCUACGGGAGGCA
rnacentral:rRNA from 1 species